UAAUAUCGUACAACAUUCAGAAGUUAACAGAAGUAUGAAUCAUUUAACGGGUGGCCUGAAAUUAAAAAUAAUUACACUUACCAUUGUAUUUUAAGAGUCAAAGUAAAGAAACGAUAAUUUCAUAGAUUUUUGAAAACGAUUAAUCGAUUGUAGUCGAAAUAACUUUUUUCCUCUUUUUUUAUUCAUUAUUUUAAAGAGAAAUGAUUUUUUAUCUUCGUUGUUAUUAAAAGGCUAUUAGUUUUCUCGAACAUGACUCGGCUAAGACAAUUUUUCUGACGCGCAGUCGCACCAAUGUCGACCAUAAAUCGUUGAUUUUGCCUCCAAGAUAUUUAUUUCAAUUCUAAGACUCGUCAAGGCAGGCACGUGCUACCAUUGCUCCUAGAAUAUAUAUAUAUAUUUGUAUAUAUAUACACGCACACGCACGUACACACAUAAAUAUAUAUAUAUAUAUAUGUAUAUACACAUACAUAAAGUGCUUGUGCAAAGAUUUAUAAAUUACGAUCCUUCGUAAUUGGUAUUCCUCAUUUAAACCUUUUUUUUCUUUUAUCUUGUUUCUAGUGAUAUUAGUGAGUGAAUUAAUUUUUUUUGUAUUUAGAUGUUUCUAAUCUUUUUAUAGAAAUUUUUAUAUAAACUGUGAUCGUGAAUUGUGAUACAUAUGUACUUAUGUAUGUAUUAUUUUGUGAGAAGACUCAUCAUCGAAAAUUUAUAUCCUUUUUGUUAUUGGUAUCAAUCGAUUUAGGUGAAUUAAUUAAUCGCCAUCAAUCAUUGUGACAAAAGUUGGUUAGCAAGAAAGUAGUUCAAGUGCAAGUGACCCAGUCGCUGCCAACAUAGUGAGGUGAUUCACUUCAGGGCCGUUACGCGAAUUACGCCGAGAAAAGGCGGAAGUUUUCUUCAUGUCGUCAUCAUUUUUACUUCUUCCUCCUCCUUCUUCUUCUUUUUAAUAGUCAAGAUCGUAAUCCGAUGAACGAACGAUUACAUACAUACAUUGAAUCAAUUAGUAGGUGGAGGUCAAUGGAAAGUCACGAACGGUCGUAUCUUUUGUGGAUUCAGAAAGGGUACUACCUCGAAAGCUUGCACUUGGGAGGAGGCCACGAUAUAAAUUGGAAACAGAUGGAUUCGCGAUAAGCGAACAGAAUCGAUCGAACUUUCGAGCGGAGUAACACGGCAUUGAGGAAGAAGAAAUAGAAUAAUUGAAAAUAUUUGCUUCUUAAUAGGAAACUGAUUUUGGAUCACUUGAGAAUUUUCUUUGAGAAAAAAAUAAGAAUAGUAAGAAAAAGAUUUGUUAUUUUUUCUUUGUUGUUUUUUUUUUUUUCUUUUUUUCAUUGUCAAAUCACCAGAAAUAUCUUACGUUCGGGACAUCGAAAAGAUUGCUUUACAUAUUCUUCAAGAAGAUACAUAUAAGAAAAACAAGAAUCAAGCAAGCAUAAUCAGAUACGGAGGCCAAUAAGAACGUUAAAAAGGAAGUUCCUUGAGGAAAGGGAGCGAAGUUUCUCGAAGACUUGACCGCCAUUAGCUUCGACUGACUCCCGUGUUCUACACUCACAAUCUUCUUUCUUCUUAAGAAGAAGCAACUUCGUAGGUGCCGCGUAAAGAACAAAGAUCUCUCUUAAUACCCGUUAGUUAGUUCGUUCGUUAGUUCGUUUAUUCAUUCAUUCAUUCAUUUAUUCGUUCGUUCGUUCGUUCGUUCGUUCGUUCGUUCGUUCACAUAAAUAUUAUCAUACUUUUCUUUUUCUUUUUUCUUUUGACUUAUGAAACGGACAAUUUUCUCCAAUUAAAAAUACACAAUAAUUUCGUCGUGAUCUAAGAGAAAUUUGAGGAAACAUUAACAAGCGAGUAAUUUCGACGAUAGAAAUUUUCAAAGAUUUAGAAAGAAUUAUUAAUAUCAAGACGUCAUUGAGAAGAAGCGGCAAAUUUUUCGAAAAAGGUGGAAUAUAGUGAAAAAAAGAUAGAUAGAUAGAUAGAUAGAUAAAGAAAGUUAAAUCAAGACUCUUAUUUUUUCAAGUUGGAAUCAAUUUCGAAAUUUG